rnacentral:rRNA from 1 species
GACGAACGCUGGCGGCGUGCCUAAUACAUGCAAGUAGAACGCUGAAGCGAGGAGCUUGCUCUUCUUGGAUGAGUUGCGAACGGGUGAGUAACGCGUAGGUAACCUGCCUUGUAGCGGGGGAUAACUAUUGGAAACGAUAGCUAAUACCGCAUAACAAUGGAUGACACAUGUCAUUUAUUUGAAAGGGGCAAUUGCUCCACUACAAGAUGGACCUGCGUUGUAUUAGCUAGUAGGUGAGGUAACGGCUCACCUAGGCGACGAUACAUAGCCGACCUGAGAGGGUGAUCGGCCACACUGGGACUGAGACACGGCCCAGACUCCUACGGGAGGCAGCAGUAGGGAAUCUUCGGCAAUGGGGGCAACCCUGACCGAGCAACGCCGCGUGAGUGAAGAAGGUUUUCGGAUCGUAAAGCUCUGUUGUAAGUCAAGAACGAGUGUGAGAGUGGAAAGUUUACACUGUGACGGUAGCUUACCAGAAAGGGACGGCUAACUACGUG